rnacentral:rRNA from 1 species
GGCGCAAGCCUGAUGCAGCAACGCCGCGUGCGGGAUGACGGCCUUCGGGUUGUAAACCGCUUUUAGUAAGGAAGAAGGGGAGCUUGCUCCUUGACGGUACUUGCAGAAAAAGGACCGGCUAACUACGUGCCAGCAGCCGCGGUAAUACGUAGGGUCCGAGCGUUGUCCGGAAUUAUUGGGCGUAAAGAGCUCGUAGGCGGUUUGUCGCGUCUGCUGUGAAAUCCCGAGGCUCAACCUCGGGCCUGCAGUGGGUACGGGCAGACUGGAGUGCGGUAGGGGAGAAUGGAAUUCCUGGUGUAGCGGUGGAAUGCGCAGAUAUCAGGAGGAACACCGAUGGCGAAGGCAGUUCUCUGGGCCGUAACUGACGCUGAGGAGCGAAAGCGUGGGGAGUGAACAGGAUUAGAUACCCUGGUAGUCCACGCCGUAAACGUUGGGCGCUAGAUGUGGGGACCUUUCCACGGUUUCCGUGUCGUAGCUAACGCAUUAAGCGCCCCGCCUGG